UGAUUACCAAACAGCUUGAGCUCCCAAACAGGGCCUAAAUGUGUGCAAUUUGUGGCCCUUACUUAGGCCAUCGACUUUUUGGUCGCUGGGCAAACAAUGUGCAGAUGAUGUCCUCGCCGCCUCGUCCUCCUUUAUCCGGUCAAAUGCUAGAGCUGCUGAUGCUCAUGAAGCAGAUCCAAAUCCUCAAUUCCGUGCCGUUUCCUGUGAAAUUUUUAAGUUCUCGAUCUUUGACGAUUUGCUCCCCGCAAAGCAUCGAUGUUACUUCACUAAACAAACUGAUCAUGGGCUGCUCUAAAGCUGGUGAUUUGGUAUCUGCCCGGAGGCUGUUUGAUCAAAUGCCGGAACGAGAUGUUGUCUCCUGGAAUUCAAUCAUGACUGCUUAUGCAAAGAACGGUCGUUGCAAUGAAGUUAUUCGAAUCUUCUCGGAGAUGAAUGGUUGCAGACUGAUGCCGAACCAUACGUCCAUUUCCACUGUUUUGUCAGCUUGUGCGAAGCUCAGAGCUUUGGAGCAGGGGAAACAGAUUCAUGCGCUGUCUGUAAAGACCGGUUCUUCGGCGAAUGUAUUUGUGGGUACUUCUUUGAUUACAAUGUAUUCGAACUGCAAUGUCUCCGAUUGCUUGAUCCGGGUGUUUGAUGAUAUAGUUCGCCCAAACCUUGCGACGUGGAAUGCUUUGAUAUCGGGCUUUGCAAUCAACCGCAGGAUGAACUAUGCUCGUGAAGCUUUUGAUCGGAUGCCGAGACGAAAUGUUGUUUCUUGGACUGCCAUGAUUAAUGGGUAUGCUGAGGUUAAGAAAGUGAGAAUUGCACUGGAGCUGUUCAACUUGAUGCCUGCCAAGAAUGUGGUAACUUGGUCCGUAAUGUUAGGAGGCUUUGUUAGUAAUGGACAAUUUGAAGAGGCAAUUGAAUUCUUUGCUAAGAUGAUGAGUGAUGGAGUUCCAACUACUGCUGCUAGCAUUAUCAAGGUAACUAAUGCCUGUUCUGGUAUGAAAAAUGUCAAACAGGGCAGAAAGAUUCAUGGCUAUGCGAUAAAAUUCGGAUUUUUUCAUCUUGAUGAGGGCGUUGAGGCUUCAUUUGUUUUAAUGUAUUGUGAAUGUCUGAACAUAGAAGCAGCUAAGCUAGAAUUUGACAAAUUGGAAGGUAAGUUUAUCAGAUCGUGGAACUCCUUACUAUGCGGUUAUAUAAAUAACAAAAAUGUCAAUGAGGCCCGUAAAUUUUUUGAUCAUAUGGACAAAAAGGACAAGAUUUCUUGGAACUCAAUGAUUAAUGGUUAUCUGAAAGAUAAGAGAAUUGAUGCUGCUCUCGAAUUGUUCUCAGAGAUGCCCGAACCAACUGUGGAGUCAACUACAGCUUUGAUGUCAAGUUUUUUAGAAAAUGGAAAUCUAGAUGAAGCACAGAAAUUAUUUAACAAAAUGCUUGAAAAAGAUGUAAUGGCGUAUACGACUUUGAUACAUGGUUACGUGGAAGAAAGCCUAGUGGACAAGGCCUUGCAGCUUUUCAACAAGAUGCCUGAAAGAAAUACUGUCACAUAUAAUGUCAUGAUCUCUGGUUUACUUCAGCAUGGGAAGGUUGCCGAUGCUUAUAAGCUCUUUAAUGAGUCUCCCGAGCGUGAUGGUACAACUUGGGAUGCUUUAAUAUCGGGGAUUGUCCAGAAUGGGUUGUAUAAUGAGGCUUUUCCACUCUUUAAAAGGAUGGUAUUAUCUGAAAUAAGCCCGAGCGAGUUAGCUAUAGCUAGCCUUCUCACUGCUUCGUCAAGGUUAUCUCUACUGAUCCUUGGGGAACAAAUCCAUGCUGUUGUUAUCAAGCUUGGGCACGAAUCACACAUGGUGGUUGGAAACUCACUAAUAAAUAUGUACUGCAAGUGUGGGGAUAUGCUGCUAGCUAAACUAAUCUUUGACUGCAUGCCUGAGUGGGAUGUGGUGACGUGGAAUGCAAUGAUUAAUGGGUAUGCAUUUAAUGGCCUUGGUAAAAAUGCUAUCGAAAUGUUUGAGAUUAUGAAGAGGACGAAUACCAAACCUGAUGAGGUCACUUUUCUUGGUAUACUAUCUGCUUGUACGCACAUGUGCCUUUUGGAUGAAGCUCAGCAUUACAUUAGUUCUAUGAAAUAUGAUUAUGGAAUUUCACCUAAAUUAAUGCAUUAUGCUUGUAUAAUUGAUCUUUUAUGUCGGAUGGGUAUGGUUGAGCAGGCUGAGAAAUUGGCUUACUCGAUGCCUUUUGAACCAGAUUCUGUGAUAUGGACUUCGCUUCUGAGUGGGUGCAGAUUAAAUUGCAAUACUAAAUUAGCAGAAAAUGCAGCUAACCAGCUAUCUGCUUGUGAUGCAAGGGACCCAAUGCCAUAUUUGCAUCUUAUCAGUGUUUAUGGGUCAGCUGGGAGAUGGGAUGAUAUAGAAAAAUUGAGAAUUCAAAAAAAGAUACUUGGGUCUAAUAAACGACCUGGUUGCAGCUGGAUAUAGACUUCCAUCCAAGGGAAUAGAGAGGGGAAGAAGAGAAAAAGCGGCGGAACAUGGAGCCGGGCAGCUGCGAACCGCCAUCCGACAUCGGAGAAGGGGAAGAAGAAGCGACGACGGCUUGGACUGCGGCAGCUCCGAAGGCGACGAAGGCGGCCUACCCGAUUGUGAGCUCGGCACAGAGGAUGGGGGAAUAGCCCCUGCUCGGCCUUUUGUUUGGGGUGAUCGGAGGUGGGAUCGUCUUCCGGGAUGCGGAGGGUGCCGUGGCGAAAGCGGCGAUGGCGGGAGCGACGCUGCAGGGGAGAUCAUGGAAGAAGAAGAGAAGAAUAGUUUUCAGAUGAUACUGGCAUACUACUGGGACUUGCCUUUUGAUGCUUACAAGUUCCUUAGCCCAUCAAAGAAGAAUAGAUUUUGCAACCGGGUGAUCGAUGGGGUGGCAAGCAUAAAAAUGACUUCUUGUGGGGUGGCACCUGGAGGUUUAUAUUGUACAAAGCAUGAAAAUGACUUCUUGUGGGGUGAACAUUGUGUAGGUUAUGUCCUUGCUUUUUAUGGAAGCCAUGAUCAAUGGAACUGCAGAACGAUCUUCUAUCCAUGUCACCUGUGGAGGCACUCUCUACCAAGUUCAUGGGAAAGAGCUCUGCUGAGUCGCAUAGAUUAUGAGAACUAUGAUGACCACCAGAAUGUGAUGAAGGUGGUUGGGACAUGGUGAUCAAAUGCAGAGAAAACUGUUGAUAGCUAUCAUUAUCAAGGAAUCAGAAGCUGACAGAGAGGUUUGCCCCCAUGGAUACGGCACAUGGUGGUUGAAUUGAAAGGCUAUAUGAUUCAGAGGAGGGUAGAUUCUCGAUGAGCCUGCAGUCCCAUCUAGAAUGAAUGAAACCAUUGGUUUGUCAGUGGUAAAGGGCUUGAGUUGAGAAGCGCAAUGGCCCGGGGUGGAGUCUUGGAAGUCGCCACUUUGUGCAAAAAGUGCCAAAGGAUGGAAAAAGAAGGUAAGCCUCCAAAAUUUCUCCGAUCUGAAAAAAGGAAAAAGUUCCGCAUUUCAGGAAAUCCCCCUUUUCACUGAUAACCCUGUGAUGAAGUAUCUAGAGCCAAAGCCAGGAGGUGGGGAAAAAAUUGAUUUUUGGACAAUAAGAACUGCUUAAUAUAGGCAAAGACGUUAAUUGGUUUCUUUCUAGUCUUCUUGACACAGUAGAGAAAAUAUGCAUACCAUGGUAAGGUGGUGGGCUUCUUUCCAUCCACAGGAGUUGAGUUUAGAAAAAUAAAGGGUAGAUUAUUGAGAAUAAAGCAGUUGCUGGAGUUUGUUGCUUUUUAUCAUACAAAAGGUGAUCACUGCUCGGAGGUCUUAGUGGGGGGAGUAAGUGUGCUUUUCGGUGUGUCUUUCUAUUUCAAUGUUUUUUUUUGUUCACAUGUUGCAAGCUUUCUCUCCCGAAAUUUCCAUAAAGUUUCAUUUAUAACCAUUCAUCGUCUCUGUGUGGUGGUAAUAUUUUACAAACGAAAAUAAGCUUUGCUCAAAUAUCAAGCCUACCUGAUCUGUCGCCGAGGUUUUUCUUCUGAUCGGUGUAUAUAUUUUUGAAGUGUAUUCUAUAGAUGACAACAAGUGCAUGUCUGUUUGGGCCAGUUGGUUGGCAGGGAGAUAUCUUAAAAGAAAAAUUUCUGACAUAUUUUAUCUACUGCCAUGUAUCUAAUGAAGAAUGCAUGCCUGUUGUUUUCCAUUUCUUUUUAAUUAGAUAUCUAUGCAAUUAUCCUGCUUACUCAAACAUCAUUGAUGAAAACUUAGAAUUUUGGAGAUGGAGUUCUACAAAAUGAUAAGAAAAUAACACUGCUGAUUGUUAACCAUGGUCUUGUUUGAAACCUCCAAGUGUUUUAGUUUGUUUUGGCACUUAUACGAUAACAACCUUUUGUUUUGAGCAAAGCACCACACAUUUUAUUACAGGAAAAAUAGAAGGAAAAAAAGAGAGAAAAAUCCUCAACUCUCUGCACUAGAGGCGCAGAGACACAUCCUGCUUCUGCCAGGCUCCGCUGCUGCCAAACUUGUCCACCGCCAGGGUCAGCUGUGCUCCUCCCAUCUGAAUGGCUCCCGUUCUUCGUCACCGGCCGGCCCAAGGCCGAUCACACCGAUAUGGCUGUAAUGACCAUAAUUUGAACAUGUUUAAGUGUUCUACAGCAUUAAUUGGUUAGAGAUAUGUAAAAGUUCUUUUUAUUUCUGAGAUAAGCUUGUGCUUCUUUAGUUCAUGUACUCAGCUAAGAUGACCUUCAGGCUUGUGUGGAGCGCUCAUAGUUUUAUUAGAGAUUUCUAAGGACUUGCAA